AAAUCAGAUGGUUGCUCACUUUUCUCUCCCAAAACAAACUACAUACACAAAUACCAUCUUUUCUCUCUCUCUAACAAAUCUCUCUCUUCUCCUUUCUCGUAUCACCAUCAUCUUCAUCUCAUCGCAGGUCCCCCAUCGAGAUCCCUACAGGACCAUCCCCUACCAUAUCUCUCUUCAUUCUUUUCGUGCCUCGCUGGAGCUAAUCACCGGUGGGCGGGCCUCAAACUAUUGACGAUUAGAUCUGGCCAGCAUUCUUUUUCCUUUCCCUUUUCCACCUAUUUGCACUGCUUUUUGUCCUCCAGGAGGAGCUCCGGAUAGGUUUCCCCUCGUACAUUUUCCACAAAUUCGGAACAAAAGACCCGCUUCUUCGGCGCUUCAUCGUCGUUGAAGUAGCGUUGUUGGUUGGUGCCUUUGUUUAUUUUUUAUGCUUGAUAAUAUUCUUAUUAUGCUUGUUCUUGUCUGAGUAGUUUAGCUCUUACCAGAAUUGUCCAUGGGUUUCCUUAAUAAUUUCUUUUGCAUAUGGUUGUUUACUUUUGCUGUUACUGCUACUUCGUCUCUGGGUCUGUUGCUGUUUUGCAUUAGACAUUGAUUUUGAAUAAUUUUUAUUAUUUACAUUUAUUUAAUUGAUAAAGAACAUGGAUACUACACUAUUUACAUUUUUAUUUAACUGAUAAGAAAUAAAUACUACACUGAUAUUGGCCAAUGAAAAAAUACCGUCGAUUUUUUAGGACUCCACAAAUAAAAGACAGAUUUUACGUAUACAAAUACAUAAUAAAAAUAUUUUUUUGGCGAUGAUAAAACUUUAUAACAACAAAAGAUUUUACAAUUCAUAUUUUGGCAAGACGAUUUAGGACGGUCAAUUAAUUGAAAAACCAUUUCGUAGCAAAACUAUUUAGGACGGUCAAUUAAUUGAGCAACCAUUUCGCAGUCAUGACUUUAUGUGAGCCAACUUUUAAACCAAAAAAAAUAUUUUUAAAUAGUUAUAUGCACACAUACUUGUUCAAUUUAUUUUGAUUAUUAUUUAUUUUUUUUAUGCACACAAACUUGUUCAAUUUUUUACAAGUGUUUAUACAGGUUAUUUUGGAUACUCGUCGGGAGUUGCAGUCAAAGAGGCUCUUUUAAUUUUAUAUUGUAUUUUAUAUUCUUAUAUUUGUACAAAUAUUAUUAUAGUGAAAACUUUAGUUUUGGGAUGUUGGGUGGGAUUUUCUUUAUUUAUACGACUUCACAUCGUAUUUAUGCAAACUUAGGUCGUAAAUGUUUACAUUAAUAAAUUAAAUUAAUUAAUUCUUUUACGUACUUUGAUAUCAUAAUCAUUCUGAUCUUUUCUGUUCAAAUAAAUCUUUACUUUUUUCUCGUAAAUUUUAAAUCAAGUAAAAACAUUAUUUUUAAAUAUUUUUCUCCUCAUGGCAUAUCAAGAUACACUUCUCUUCAUACACGUCACAAAAUAUUUUUUCUUUUCACAUGUAAUUUAUACAUUUUUAUAAAUAUUUUUUUUUACAUGUGUUUCAUAACAAUAUGUUUUAUUUAUAUAUUUAAUAUACAUAUACCUUUACAAAAUUUUAAACAUUUAUGUUUUUUAAAAAAAUUAUUUUAUAAUUAAUACAUAUUUUGUAAAUUAUUUUAAAUAUACCUCCUCCCUCUUUGAAAAAUUUAGUCUAGCCGGAUACCACAUCUGUGGAUCUCGAAGGGUGCCUAACCCCUUCCCUUGGGGAUAACUUGAACCCUUACCUAAAAUCUUAAAUUGGUUUUCGUAGACUAAAAAAAUUAAUCAUAUUUGUUAAUAAAUAGGUUUCCUUAUUUUCCUUAAAAAUUAGGUGGUGACUCUGUAUAUAAAUUCAUUCUUUUAGAUUCCAUAACGUCGUGCUCAUUUGCCCUUAGGUAGAAAUAGGGGCGCUACAGACUGGCGACUCUGAUAGGGAUGAGGAGACGUUCUAACCAUGAUCGACUCGAUUUUCAAUCGAGGGAAAUAUUUUUACAUUUUUUGUAUAUGAUUAAAUUCUUUACCCAUUACACUACAAAUUAUGUUAAUUUGCUCAUAAGUUCCUUACAUUUUUUUAUCAUUCUUAGUUUAGGAUUUUUAUGCUUUAUUAUGUUAUUUGUUUUACAUAUUUUUAUAUCAUGCUAUGUGUGAAAGGACGCAAGCCAAAUCCAAACUUGUGUUCCUUAUUUGUUUGAAUAACACUACUUAUUACUGCUUUAUCACUUUCAUUUUUCUAUCGAGUUUUUGGUUGUCCACAAUUCACACACCGUGGUACACGCGAGGGGUGUACUGCACUUCUCCAAACCUUCUUUGGAUUCCUUAGUUUUAGAGUCAGUGCAUUUAGCUUAGUGCACCUUCUCGUAAAUAUUCAAUCCCACUCUUAAACAUUUAGGGAAAAAUGCUACUCUAGUAAUAGGUCAUAUUGCAUAUACCUUAGGCGGGAUGGUCAAAGGUAUCAUCUUCGCAGCUAUUAAGCCACUCUUUCAUCAGAAGGUUAUGAAACCUUUAUGGCAUAUUUUGUGUUUGAAUUGAUUCAGAUAAUCAAGAAAUCAAACAUUAAUGGAUUCAGAACAAUCAAAUUAGCCUCUUUUACUCUUCCUUCAUUCGACAUCAUUCUCACAUCAAUAGACAUAAAGCAUUACCCAAACUUCGCAAUAUUUGACACCAUUUUCACGAAUAUAGUGUUGUUAAAUCUCUGUUUCACAAAUAUCUUUCUCGAAGUCCAUGAAAGCCGAGUGUUCUAAAAAUGCUUUGCUUUCGUUUGAGUUUCUCUUAAAGUCCGCAGAUAGGGAAUGUCACUAAAAAACUCCACUUACGUCUAUCUUUUUUUUUUCAUCCAAACUAGAGUGGAAUGACGUCAAGAAAUCUUCCAAUGUUUGAUUACUUUUUCUAAUCAAAAGACAUAGAAUAUUAUUCAAAACUCUACAAUUAUUUGACACCCUUCUUCAAAACAAUGAAUGUGGAAUAUUAUUCAUCUUCACCCACUUCUAACUCUUUCCAGCCAUUGAGCGUGAGGCAUUAUCGAUACUUCUCCUCCAUUUGAUACCCCUACCAUAAGAUCCUCAUUCAUCAAUAACGAGAUUUUAGAUACUCACUCUUUUAAAAGCAUCAUUUUUAGCCUGCUUCUAUCAAUUCUUAUCGACUAUAUAGGCCUCUUUUAGCCACCCUUGAUGGAUACAUUUUCUUUUCUAGAAAACUUAAAAUUGUUCUGAAUCCAAAAUGUUCAAAAUCUAGAUUCAUCUAUGUUAGUUUAUUUGAACAAAGUCCUACCUCUGGCAAAAAGAAGCUCCACAAUAUAAAAUGGACUUACUUGAUGUUGUCUGAAUGUGCUUGUCCAUCGACAUGAACUAACUCCUUAACUUUUAUUUGUGUUGGAAUUAUCCCCGCAAAAGAGAUUAGUUAUUUGUGUUGGAAUUCCAUUGAAUUGUCCACUACUAUGCAAGAGCUUCACCAUUUUCUUCUUCAGCUCAAAUCUACAUCUAAAAGUUAGUUUUUUGAAUCGGGGAGGUCAAAUUUGCCACAAGUAGGAUUGCCACUUCACGAACUGUCCUGUAGUCUAGUGGACUAUCAGUCAUUGGUUGAGGAAUAUCUUGUUCUUUGUUGAUUUACGGGAUACGGUAGAGAAGGAUUGCUUUUCUUCUCUGUUAGUAUAAGUGUUGUUCGAGCUUGAGGUCUGGCUAAACCAAUUCUCAGUCCUUUGCCAGUUUACAAGCUAGUAAAUCUAUUUCCUACAAAGUCAGAACCAAACCCAAGUAAAAAGAACUUAAGAAAUCCAAAAACUAAAGCAGUUUCCAAAUUACAAGUCUCUGGCAAUGGCUCCAAAAACUUGUUGUGCCUAAGUAUAUAUGCAACAGUACGUGGUCUUACCAAGAAAUAUAGUGGCCUUUACAAACCAAGUAUCCAUCUCCCAGAGACUUGUUUUGAUAGCUAUCCAAUUCUAGUUCACUAUUAUAAUCAAUUUAAUGCAAACACAACAACAAGAUUUUAAAAGUUAUAAGUAACUGUAAAUUAAAUAAUACGGUAAAUUAAAAGUCUUGGAAAAUCAAUGAGGAGAAACCAAGGGUUAAGGCCCUACGAACAAUCAUACUAUUUUAUUGAAUUUCAUUUAUUAGUUUUCUUAUCUUGUUUGUAGAUUCACGAAAUUGAUAAUAUUACUAUGGUCUUUCGAGUCUCUAGUCACCUAUAUAAUUUAGACCCACAACUAUAUGAUUGAGCGAGGAAGUGAGAACUAAGUUAAAUACAUUUAUAUUUCAUCCCAAAAGUGAAACAAAUAGGUCACGUAGGUAUAUUCCUAUCCUCAAUGAAAAUUAUAACUUUAUUUUGUUGAAGAUUACAAUUCUAUUCUAUUUACCCCCAUGCACUAUCCUCUUGUUCCUCCUUUCUGGCUCAUAAGAUGACUAUUGAUGUAUUCUAAGCAUUAAGAAUCCUUAAAAUAGUGAUGAAAAGGACAAAAUAAAUAACCAAAUAUGAUAAAUAAUAAAACUAACUCAAUUCAUAACAAGAGUAACUAUGUUCUUGGUCUUAACCCCGGAAAAGGGCUUCUAGCCAAACAUGGAAAAACCAUAAUUCCAAUAAUAGUAUACUUGUUAAAGUCCAUAAACUAACCAAAGUAAUGGAAUGAAAACCCUAAUUUAGGUUUUUACAGCCUCCCUCAAAGUUUCAAGGUCGUCCAAGGUGUAUAGCAUAAUGUUUAAGGGUCCUAUUUAUAGUAGGACAAAUUUGCCGAUAUGAGCUAAGGUCCACAUUGCGCCCUUUAUCGAGGUGUCUUGGGUCAAUUUAGUGACAUAAUUAUGGAUAAAACUUUAAAUGAUGCCUUAUAAAUAUCCCAAGUCAUAUCAUAGAUCCUAACGUGGUGAAUAAGAUCUGUGGCCAGCCAUUGGCUCCAAAAUAUCUGUUUUAUGUAUCUGUGGCCAGCCAUUGGCUCCAAAAUAUCUGUUUUAUGUCAAAUCUUGCAACAUGCUUUUGUCCAUCCAUUCCAAGCCUUGUAUGCCUGUUUAUAAUUGAUUACCAGAUUUAUUCCCAUCCAUAUACUAUAAUUUUCUACUCAAAAAGAAUUCUUUUGCAUCAAACACCUUGGAUUAGAGCUAAAAUAACACAUAAUCCCAGACGCUGAACUACAAACUUAAGCUCAGAAUACUCGUUUUUUUCCUUUUCAUCAUUAACUUAGUUUUGACUCUUGGCUUGUUUCAAUUGAACAUUAAAUACUAUAAACAGGUUUUUCCACACAUAAUUACACAAUCAUAUCAUUAGUAACUUAUUUUUGAUUAAUCGUGAAUUUACCAUUUAUUUACAUCCAAAACUCAUGCACACUACUAUGAUUUGGAAGUAUAAAUGAGGCAACUUUAUUAAUUGAAUGCAGUAAUUUCCACAUUUUGCAGCUAUAAAGGUGAUGAAAAUGAAAUAUGUGGAAUUGAGCUUAAAAGAGAAGAGAAGUGCAGCUAGAAGACCCUGAGCAAAAAAUGGUCUCAAUUACUGCGAUCACAGUCUGGAGGUCACAAUCAUGGUCAGUCAAGCUAGGUCAAAUGCCAACAAUCGGGGUGAUCAUAAGGCAGUCGUGGUGGCCUCGAUCUCGACAUCUUGGGUUUUUUUCCCUUGGGCAAUUCUAAAUUUUACAUAGCUGACCAUAAUUUCAUAAUAAGGCACAAACCUUUUCCCAUUCGGCAUUACUGAAAUUUGAAUUUAUAUUGGAAAAUUUGUAAACCCUACCAAAUUGGGAAAUUUAGUGUGGUUAAUUUAUAAAUUAGUGUUUCAAUUGAAAUUUUAUAUUGUAUUACUCUUGAUUGCAAACUUUAAUU
rnacentral:lncRNA from 1 species